AUAAAUAUACUGUGACCCGCAAGGGUCUAAUGUAUCCACCCUUUGUGAAACUUCUAUUUUUGCUUCGGCAGCGCUCCCAGUGGUUAACACCUGCUGGUGGGAUAAGGCUGUCAGAAGACCCAACAAAACUAGUUUGAUGAAAUGUCAUGCAGUCUGAUAACCAUUUUUUGAGAAAUCAAAUUAUGUUA
rnacentral:misc_RNA from 1 species